UACAGAGGGGGCAAGCGUUGUUCGGAAUUACUGGGCGUAAAGGGCGCGUAGGCGCCUUCUAAGUCGAACGUGAAAUCCCCGGGCUCAACCCGGGAACUGCGUCCGAUACUGGAAGGCUUGAAUCCGGGAGAGGGAUGUGGAAUUCCAGGUGUAGCGGUGAAAUGCGCAGAUAUCAGGAGGAACACCAAUGGCGAAGGCAGCACUCUGGGACGUGACUGACGCUGAGACGCGAAAGCGUGGGGGAGGCGAACAGG
rnacentral:rRNA from 1 species